AUUUGGCCUUGAUGAUUAGUUUGCAGCUUAAAAUGCCAGUUCUGCUUCAGAAAAUUCUUGAUAGAUAAAGCUGUUUCCUUUUCUGAGCUUAAU